AUAGCAGCUAGAGUUUGGGUAGGCAGUUUCUCCACAUUCCUUUCUCACUUUAUUGAUUUGAUUUUCUGUCUUCUUUUUGCCCAGCCUCAGUUGAUAUCAGACUAGCAAGUAACGUGGGCAAGACGGCCUGUGAGACCACGUGUGCCCAGAAAGGCAGUACAGCCACACAAGUACCCAGAAGAGUGAAUGCUCUGCUGGGCAAACAGCUGGAGUGUGAAUCAAAACAGCUGGAUCAUAGUGCCAGAUUACCACCAUCCACGUGACAGAGGCCUCAAUUUGCAUGUGACGUGUACAGUGUACCUGUGCUCCAUUUGAAUCCUAGAAAGGCAGAAGUGUCCAGCAGAGUAAAGGCUUUGCUGGGAACACAACUGGAGUGAGAGUCAAAGCAGCUGGAUCACAGGGCCAGACCACCACAGUUCACGUGACUGAGGGGAGUGGCCUUGUGUUCUGUGCCACUGCGGGGGCGGAGCCUUCUCUGAGCAGCACCUCUGAGUUCUGCCCUGCCAGUCUUGUGGGAGGAGCUGCAUUUUACCAGGCUGCAGCUGACAAGAAGCGUCAAGCCUUGGUUAAUAUUGGAGGUGCAUGUGGUGUGGGAACUCUGUGUGUGAUUCGACUUGAGCACAGAAAGGCUGUGUAACCACAUACAAGCCCCAUAGGGUGAAAGAUCUGUUGGGAAAUCAACUGGCUUGAGAGUCAAGAUAGUUGGAUCACUUUGCAGGACCAUCACUGUCCACGUGACAGAGGGUAAGACUUGUCCCAUUUCUGGAUACACUACACAUUUGAAAAUAUGCUGAGGUCUUAAAGGACACUUGAUUUUUGCUUCCUGCUUUCCAUCUGUAAGCGUUUUCAACUUAAAAGCAACUUUUGUAUUAACAUAAUUCAGUUGAAAGUUUGAGGCAAGGCCAUGUACUCAGCUAACACACUGCCUUUUAGUGUUAAUGAAGUAAUAGAAUCAUUUUAGAAUGUAGUAGAAUUACAGGGUUUUUAGCUCAUUCUAAGAAUUUCUGAAUAAGACUUUGAAAAUGGAGCCUAACAUUCUAUGAGGUCCUCCAUAUAAUCCUCAUGAUUGCUAAAUUUGAAGACUCACUACCACAGAUGUAAUACUAGGAAUACAAAAGUACCAAAGUAUCAGAUGGCAUGAAUAGAUUCCAUAGCAUGCGUGUACUUCUAGCUAUACUGAUGUAUAUUCUUUAACAAAAAAGUAACAGUUCUUGAAUUGGGGUUAUAAUGCAAGUUUAUUUCCGUUUGUUACCUCUCUGUCCAUUAGACUGCUUUUUUGUCUUUCUCAUCUCUCAUUUGAACACAGUUCUUUUCAGUUUAUCUCUUUUGUCUGCAUUUGCUCACCGUCUACUUUGGCAAGAUAGUUUUAUUUGUUAAUAGUGUUUUCCCUAUUUCAGUAUUUUCCAGAGUUCUCUUAUUCAAACAACAUGUUCAAGAAUUCUGGGGACAUAUUUGUGGAAGAAAACAGUGCACAUAAACUAUAGACUCUUUGUGGUUCUAAAUCAAAAGAAACUUUAAUAAGACUGUUGUGAUAGCAUUUGAAUUUGUAGCCACAAGGCCAACCAAUCUUUGUCUGUAACAUUAACUACUUG
rnacentral:lncRNA from 1 species